AUUGAACGCUGGCGGCAGGCCUAACACAUGCAAGUCGAACGAGUGGCGGACGGGUGAGUAAUGUGUGUGAACCUAGCUUAUGGAGGGGGAUAACUACGGGAACCUGUAGCUAAUACCGCGUACCAUAGGAUGAGCCCAGGUGGGAUUAGGUAGUUGGUGAGGUAAAGGCUCACCAAGGCGACGAUCCCUAGCUGGUCUGAGAGGAUGACCAGCCACACUGGAACUGAGACACGGCCCAGACUCCUACGGGAGGCAGCAGUGGGGAAUAUUGCACAAUGGGGGCAAGCCUGAUGCAGCCAUGCCGCGUGUAUGAAGAAGGCCUUCGGGUUGUAAAGUACUUUCAGCGGGGAGGCGUUACCCGCAGAAGAAGCACCGGCUAACUCCGUGCCAGCAGCCGCGGUAAUUC
rnacentral:rRNA from 1 species